UGAGUAACCUGCCCUUUAACUCUGGGAUAAGCCUGGGGAAACUGGGUCUAAUACCGGAUAUGACUCCUCAUCGCAUGGUGGGGGGGUGGAAAGCUUUUUUGUGGUUUUGGAUGGACUCGCGGCCUAUCAGCUUGUUGGUGAGGUAAUGGCUCACCAAGGCGACGACGGGUAGCCGGCCUGAGAGGGUGACCGGCCGUCACUGGGACUGAGACACAGCCCAGACCUCCGUACGGGAGGCAG
rnacentral:rRNA from 1 species